UACGUAGGGGGCAAGCGUUGUCCGGAUUCAUUGGGCGUAAAGAGCGUGUAGGCGGCCAGGUAGGUCGGUUGUGAAAACUCGAGGCUCAACCUCGAGACGUCGGUUGAAACCGUAUGGCUAGAGUCCGGAAGAGGAGAGUGGAAUUCCCGGUGUAGCGGUGAAAUGCGCAGAUAUCGGGAAGAACACCCGUGGCGAAGGCGGCUCUCUGGGACGGUACUGACGCUGAGACGCGAAAGCGUGGGGAGCGAACAGG
rnacentral:rRNA from 1 species